rnacentral:lncRNA from 1 species
GAGGUUAUUAUGAGUGUUUGAACAGGUAACUUUUACCUUUGGACCUCGAUUGCAACAGGUUCAAAGUUUCUAGAGGAGCUUGCUGAGCACCCUCAGGUCUGGACACAGUGCUUGAAGGUGUGGCCCAGUCCCAGGAGUUGUGGAAAAGGCAGGAGUGACUGAACGUGGUACUGAGUCAGUAUAGCCACUCGUGUGAGGAGCGUUCCUAUACCCAGGACCCUGGUCAGAUCCUGAUCGGUAUUCCUACAAGGGGGCUCCCUGGAGACCGAGGUCAGCCAGGGCGCAUUCUCCAAGGUUGUGGCACCUCAUCCUGACCUUUUCAGCUGGACGCCCUGAGGACCUGCCCUCUACAGAAAGAAAAA